rnacentral:rRNA from 1 species
CCUACGGGCGGCUGCAGUGGGGAAUCUUGGGCCAUGGGCGCAAGCCUGACCCAGCAACGCCGCGUGAAGGAAGCAGGCUUUCGGGUUGUAAACUUCUUUUAAGGGGGAGGAGCAGAAGACGUUACCCCUUGAAUAAGCCACGGCUAACUCCGUGCCAACCGCCGCGGUAAUCCGGAGGUGGCCAGCGUUGUCCGGAUUUACUGGGUGUAAAGGGCGUGCAGCCGGCGAGACAAGUCCGAUGUGAAAUCCACGGGCUCAACCCGUGAACUGCAUUGGAAACUGUGUCCCUUGAGUGUCGGAGAGGUAAUCGGAAUGCCUAGUGUAGCGGUGAAAUGCGUAGAUAUAAGGAAGAACACCAGUGGCGAAGGCGGAUUACUGGACGAUAACUGACGGUGAGGCGCGAAAGCGUGGGGAGCAAACAGGAUUAGAUACCCCUGUAGUC